rnacentral:rRNA from 1 species
AUUGAACGCUGGCGGCAGGCCUAACACAUGCAAGUCGAGCGGUAGCACAGAGAGCUUGCUCUCGGGUGACGAGCGGCGGACGGGUGAGUAAUGUCUGGGAAACUGCCUGAUGGAGGGGGAUAACUACUGGAAACGGUAGCUAAUACCGCAUAAUGUCGCAAGACCAAAGUGGGGGACCUUCGGGCCUCAUGCCAUCAGAUGUGCCCAGAUGGGAUUAGCUAGUAGGUGGGGUAACGGCUCACCUAGGCGACGAGCCCUAGCUGGUCUGACAGAAUGACCAGCCACACUGGAACUGAGACACGGUCCAGACUCCUACGGGAGGCAGCAGUGGGGAAUAUUGCACAAUGGGCGCAAGCCUGAUGCAGCCAUGCCGCGUGUGUGAAGAAGGCCUUCGGGUUGUAAAGCACUUUCAGCGGGGAGGAAGGCGUUAAGGUUAAUAGCCUUGGCGAUUGACGUUACCCGCAGAAGAAGCACCGGCUAACUCCGUGCCAGCCGCCGCGGUAA